ensembl:misc_RNA Metazoa_SRP Metazoan signal recognition particle RNA
GCCGGGCAUGGUGGCACAUGCCUGUAAUCCCAGCUACUUAGGAGGCUGAGGUAGAAGAAUUGCUUGAACCCAGGAGGCGGAGUAGGUUGCAGUGAGCCAACAUCGUGCCACUGCACUCUAGCAUGGGUGACAGAGCAAGACUCCAUCUCAA